UGUUUUUCGUACCCUUUUCAACAAAUAUUAAUGAUUGCGUUGAUAUAAUUCAUAUUUUAUACCAAUGCAAAAUUAAUGCAUUUUUAUCACGCAUUUUCUGUAACCGAAUCUUUUCCCAACAGCAGCAAUGUUUAAUUGGUAAAUUUAAUUUAUGAUUCCAUUUCCGAGCGUAGACGGUUACAAAAAAAAGAAAUAUUUGCAAUAUUCUUUAGAUUUAGGAUAUAUUUUUUUAUGUCAUUCUCAGAAAUCUGUUAGAGCUAAACUGUUUUUUAUUUUUGCAAAUGUGCAUUGAUAAAUAUUUUUGUAUAUUUGUGACAGUAAGGCCCAUUUAUAAUAACCCCCUUGACUCUAACCGCUACCGAAAAUGGUAUUUUUUGAUAAUUUUUCUACAUGUAGAUUAGAAUGUUCAUAUGAAAUAUUAACAAAGGGUGUUUUUUUUUAACCCAACAUUUCUUGUAGUUGUAUACUCGGAAAUUAGUUCUUGAUUUGACUCGAUACAUGGAAUCAUAAUAAAUUAGGAAAACAAGAGUUAAGGUUCCUUUUUUAUUUUGGACCUGAAGAUAAUUAUAUAAAAAGAGAUUCCUCGAGUUUACUAAGUAUUCAUAAUCCGGCCAAUUUUUUUAUCUAAUGUAAUGCUAUUCAUUUGUGUCAAAAAUUAUCUUAAUUUUUUGCUUGUUAUUGUUAUUUUUAUAUUUUGUUACAUUAUCAAAAAUAUUAAGUUCUUGUUUUUAUUUGUCCAUCAAAAUGUCACAUGCACUUCAUAAUGAAAUGCGUGUUCUGAUAUUUCAUUUAAAUUUUGUUUAUAUUGUAUGAUAUAAACACAUUUAUCAAAUUAACUAUUUUAUUUUAACCAUUUUAUUUUUCUUGUGUGUUGUUAUCACAGAAUAAACCUCAACUUUACUC
rnacentral:misc_RNA from 1 species